rnacentral:rRNA from 1 species
AUUGAACGCUGGCGGCAGGCCUAACACAUGCAAGUCGAACGAGUGGCGGACGGGUGAGUAAUGUCUGGGAAACUGCCCGAUGGCGGGGGAUAACUACUGGAAACGGUAGCUAAUACCGCAUACCAUCGGAUGUGCCCAGAUGGGAUGAGCUUGUAGGUGAGGUAACGGCGAACCUAGGCGACGAUCCCUAGCUGGUCUGAGAGGAUGACCAGCCAAACUGAAACUGAGACACGGUGCAGCCUCCGACGGCAGGCAGGAGUGGGGAAUAGUGCACAAUGGGCGCUAGCCUGAUGCAGCCAGGCCGGGUGGAGGAAGAAGGCCUUCGGGUUGUAAAGGACUUUCAGCGGGGAGGCGUUACCCGCAGAAGAAGCACCGGCUAACUCCGUGCCAGCAGCCGCGGUAAUAC